UACGUAGGGUGCGAGCGUUGCCCGGAUUUAUUGGGCGUAAAGGGCGCGUAGGCGGCUCUGCACGUCCGUUGUGAAAUCGCCCGGCUCAACUGGGCGGGGUCAGCGGAUACGGCGGAGCUUGAGCAAGCUAGGGGGCAAUGGAAUUCCCGGUGUAGUGGUGGAAUGCGUAGAUAUCAAGAGGAACACCUGAGGUGAAGACGGGUUGCUGGGCUGACACUGACGCUGAGGCGCGAAAGCCAGGGGAGCAAACGGG
rnacentral:rRNA from 1 species